rnacentral:lncRNA from 1 species
GCUACUUCCUGGCAUUUAACGGCACCAAGUACUUUAGUGUAAAUAUAAUUAUAGCCCUUGCUUUUGGGAGGCCUUUGCAGCCAACCUCUCCCACAUGGGAUCAACCGUAGACGGCGUGAGCCAUGUGGAGAUUCGGCCUCUGCUCAAGGUCAGUACAGACGGGGUCUGCCAGCCAUGAUUUUACCAACCUUUCAGUUAUUUCAGAAAACAAGAAGAGAACGUAACACAGGCAAGAGUGGAUCUAUGGGAUGGAAAUAAUGAGCCAUUUAUAACCCAAAACGAGACUGCCAGGAAAAACACGCAAAAAGGACAUUUUAUCAGAGGCCUUUGCUGCCUAAGACUAGUGGGCCACAAGGUACUGAGUGUUCGGCUCACCGGGCCAAGAGCUACAGUAAGGUGGCCUGUCCCUCCUGUCAGCCUGAUCAAGUGGCCUUAACCACCUGGUGGCGAAGAGCUUUUGUGCAGUCUGAGUGUGAGCAGGGUGGCCUUCUCACAUUUUUGAUAGAGACGCGGAGUCGCGUUGUGACACUUCACAAGUACAUACAGCUUACGCAAUUCCAGGAGCACCAGGGUCUGCCCAUCAGUGGUUUGUCCCCAACGUGCAGCUUAUAUAAUGAGCCAUCAGGCCCUCCAGGUUCUCCACCGAGCCUGUGAAAGAAUGUUCAGGCUCUGAACUUGGCCCUGGCUGCUGGGCAGUGCUUUGUCCCAAAGGUGUGUGGAAUGGCUUGGCUGUCAGCACCUGCUGGAGAGAUAGACAGAAGUGCCACAGGCUGAUCCUCUUGUGGCACCAGUGCAGAGGAGGCUGGUGACAGGUCCCAGAUGGCCAUGGCCUACCCUGAAGCACCCUGCAGGGAGGAAGAACGGAGACUGUCAAGCUAAGGCAGAGUGGGCCAGAAGCCUGAACAGAGGCCCCUUUGAAGGGUAACCAACACAAAGCGGACUUCCUCAAAGUUCCAGCCACAGCAGGAAUGCUGUCUGUGGUUUGGGCAAAGGUCUUUUGUCUGUUGACUGGAAAUUUGGCACUGUGCUGUCCUCCUAGGGCUUACCUGGAGCGAAGUUAUAAAGUAGGUCAAGUGUGUUCGGUGCUCUCUCACCUCCAGUCUCUGCCCUGCUGCCCGCCUCCCUGCUGGGCUCUGUUUGCACCCAGGCUCCCAUGCGCUCCACAUAGCUCUGAGCACCUGCUUCAUACCAGGUGCCGUGCCAAGUGCUAGGCACCCAGCAGGGCUUUCUCAACACCUGGUGGCCCCCUGUGGAGCACUGGGCUAGUCCUCCCUGGGCCUCCUCUCCUGUCACUCUCAGCCCCACCAUGUCCCCCAACUACCUCUCCGUCCAGUCACCACCUAUGGAUACUUUGCCUCUCAACCUUGGAGGUGGGACUGUUUCUUUAUAGUUCUCAUCAUAGUAAACUCACAGAUUGUCUUUAUAAAAGGAUUGCUCUUGGCGCUCAGGGAUACCUCUCAAGAAUCUCUGCACAUUGAAAAGUGAUGGUGUGGAAAACCCACACGUUCCAUAGAGUGGAGCAAGGCACCCGUUGGAAAAUUCAAGGCAGGAGGGGACAGGAACGUACCAUAUUGUCUGAACAGAGUUUUUGCAAUGCCACCAGGUAAACAAGUUGCCCUUUCACCUCUUCACUUAUUGGUGAGGAAUGUGGUCAUGGUUGAGUGGACAAAUUCUGGAGCUGGACUACCUGGGUUCAAAUCCCAUCUAUGCAAAUAGUGACCUAAGAAAGCUACUUGAUCUUUGCUCCUUGUUUUGCUCAUAUGACAAGAGAGAUGGUAGAAAUAAUCUAAGUGCAUCCCACAGAAUGGUGUGGGGAUUACCAUAAAUUAUUAUGUAUGAAAUCUUUGUAAUACUGGCAUGCAUAGUAAGCACUCUAUAAAUAUUAAAGUUCAUUUUUCAUGAAGCCAACUCAAUGCUUUCUACUUUGCAGUCAGAUUUUUGUGAUAGUCAUAUUCAAAAGAGGCAACUUGUUAUUCAGAUUACAAUUUCCUCAUCUGCAAAAUAGGAAGUAGUGAGUGAAGGAGGAUGUGGGAGCAGAGGAUCAGUCAGGUGACCACAUUCUGGUCUAUGAUCUCCACUAGCUCCGUGACCUUGAGCAACUAGCUGAACCUCUCUUCAUCCCAGAGAUUGAAUUUGGUCUGCCUCUCCCAGACUCAGGCCAUUCGAAUGACACCUGCAGACUCUUUGCCAUGUCCCUGUUCCACAUCUUCUAUACAGCUACUUACUUAAUACUUUCCUUUAGAUAAUCUUUAAAUCUUUUUGGUAACCUCAAAGUAAGCAGUAAUAUUCAUGUACACAAGGGCUUGAUAUGCUAGGUCUAGAUUUUUCUAAUGCAUGUUAAAAUAAAUGCCUAAUGAAAUUUUAAGCUGUUUAUAUUCAAAUCAUCUUUCAUGCCAUCAAUGAUGUUUACACACUAUUUUAGGAAACUCUGGUUUAAAUGUUUGCUGUGAAUCCAGCCAGCUCUAAAAUCCUCUCUGUACUGUUACAUAAUUUUCAUGUGGCUAUUUAACUUUGAAUGUGUUUCUUAUUCUCUCUCUCUCUCUCUCUCUCUCUCUCUCUUUCUUGCACUCUCGAGGGCAUAGAUCGUGGCUUCUAAUUCUUUAGGCUCAUAGCAGAGUAGUUUAUAAGUCAUUUAAUUUUAAAUUAUAAAUACAGCAUAAUUAUAUACACGUGUGUGUAUGAGUGUGUGUGUGUGUGUGUGUGUGUGGUGAUAUAUCACCCACUGACCCCUAGACCCAAACCUAAAUGCACAUCUCUUUGCACAUGAGUGUUGCUGUUUUCCUGGGGUGGUAGUUCACUAAAUGAGGGGAAGCCAUGAGUGGGCACUCAGGAAAUGUUGCUUUCCUUGACUUCCUCCCCUUUCCUGUGCCCCUUUGUUGGUGAAAAUUUUUUUGUCCAUAUGAAAAGCAAGCCUACUUCCUAAAGAAUGUGUAGCCCAAGUUAUUGUGGGGCCAGAAUAACUGUCCUCAACCCUAAAAGAAAUUCCAUUCCCAGAUCCAGAAAGGAUCUAAGAAAGGAAGGAAUUAAAUUUCUAAAUAUCCAAGAGGUCUGGAGAAAUUGUCUGGUAAUUUACUCAGAGCUCAUCAGCAAAAAUGUAUGGCACACCGUAGUCUCAUGACACCAUUCUAGGUUCACAGCCUGAACCCCUUCUCAAUCAACCAGGGUUUGUUCAGUGACUUCCUGAGUGAUUUUUGUGCCAAUAACCUUGGAAGACCCAGUUCUGAAUAAGAUCAUCAGACUGGGAAGAGACUUCUAGAAGAUUGUGAGCGUCCCAGAAGCAAG